rnacentral:rRNA from 1 species
CCCUUAGAUGUUCUGGGCCGCACACGCGCUACACUGGCAGGCUCAUCGAGCUUCAUGCCCUGAUCUGAGAAGAACGGGAAAUCUUUGAACACCUGCCGUGCUUGGGAUAGAUGUUUGCAAUUAUUCAUCUUCAACGAGGAUUGCCUUGUAAGCGCACGUCAUCAGCGUGCAUUGAAUACGACCCUGUAUUCUGUACACACCGCCCGUCGCUCCUACCGAUUGAAGUUUUCGGUGAAUUUACUGGAGAUCCCUUUUGAAGGUGGUUCGCCACUGGAAGAAGUAUUCAAAAGUAAAUGAAUCGAAUGCUUUAGAGGAAGGAGAAGUCGUAACA